UAAAACAAGUUCGGAGAGGUCCGAAAGUCACUGUCCCUAUCUACUAUCUAGCGAAACCACAGCCAAGGGAACGGGCUUGGAAUAAUUAGCGGGGAAAGAAGACCCUUUUGAGCUUGACUCUAAUCUGGCAGUGUAAGGAGACAUAAGAGGUGUAGAAUAAGUGGGAGAUAUUAGACCUCGGUUUGGUAUCGUCAAUGAAAUACCACUACUCUUAUUGUUUCCUUACAAUACGGGAUUAAAUGGAACGUGUAUCAUUUCCUAGCCAUU
rnacentral:ncRNA from 1 species